GAUGAGCGCUGGCGGCGUGCCUAAUACAUGCAAGUCGAGCGAACAGAUAAGGAGCUUGCUCCUUUGACGUUAGCGGCGGACGGGUGAGUUACACGUGGAUAACCUACCUAUAAGACUGGGAUAACUUCGGGAAACCGGAGCUAAUACCGGAUAACAUAUUGAACCGCAUGGUUCAAUAGUGAAAGGCGGCUUUGCUGUCACUUAUAGAUGGAUCCGCGCCGUAUUAGCUAGUUGGUAAGGUAACGGCUUACCAAGGCAACGAUACGUAGCCGACCUGAGAGGGUGAUCGGCCACACUGGAACUGAGACACGGUCCAGACUCCUACGGGAGGCAGCAGUAGGGAAUCUUCCGCAAUGGGCGAAAGCCUGACGGAGCAACGCCGCGUGAGUGAUGAAGGUCUUCGGAUCGUAAAACUCUGUUAUCAGGGAAGAACAAAUGUGUAAGUAACUGUGCACAUCUUGACGGUACCUGAUCAGAAAGCCACGGCUAACUACGUG
rnacentral:rRNA from 1 species